AUAUUUUAUUACCUGGCUUGGUACCUUCUUGCCAUCCUCGGAGAUGAUGGAGUGGAGAGUGCACUUAUAAAAUUUGCGGAUGACACCAAGGUGGGAGUGGAUCUGCACACAACUAAAGCUUAGCUGCAGGUGCUUUUCUGUCUCUUCAACACUUCAGCAGUUAUGAAUUCAGGAUCAUGCUCGUGUGGACAAGAUGGGAGCAUUCUCAUCACCUAACUCUGCUCCCUGUUUUCAUACGUAGGUUUCCCAAUGCCCCCAGAACCCCAGCAAUGCAAUUAGCACAGAGCAUAAAGCUGGAUGGCAACCUCAGGAGUGCGACCGGUGCAAGUAAAGAGACUGGAGACCUUCCCUGCAUCUCCUGCAGUGCAUUUGUUAUGGUUGGAGAAUAUCCUCCCCAGGCCAUGACAGACAGCCAAACCUGCGUGAAGAGGUAGUAAAGAGAAAUGUAGAAGUUUUCCCACAGUAAUUCUUUUUUCCUGGGCAAAUAAAUAAAUAAA